ensembl:lncRNA
CUUCUAUAUAUUAAAAUAAUAGAAGUAUUUGCUGUAACAGUCAAACAUGCAGUAGAUAUUAUCUCAGGUCAUCAUAUAGCAAUCUCUAAUUGAAGAGGCAUUAACAGUUUUGGAACCAAACAUCUGACUGACAGUAGGAACAAGGCCUGCCAUGAAGAACUAGAAAUGCAGUAGCUUACAAAGGAGAUGUGAAUGAACAACCUCUAUAUAUUAAAAUAAUAGAAGUAUUUGCUGUAACAGUCAAACAUGCAGUAGAUAUUAUCUCAGGUCAUCAUAUAGCAAUCUCUAAUUGAAGAGGCAUUAACAGUUUUGGAACCAAACAUCUGACUGACAGUAGGAACAAGGCCUGCCAUGAAGAACUAGAAAUGCAGUAGCUUACAAAGGAGAUGUGAAUGAACAACCUGGCAACAUACCAUAGUUUCUUUUCCACAUUCUACUGCGAGAUGUGCAGUGACAAUGCUCCAAUUGAGCUGAUUCAUCAGCAGUCUCUCUAGUCCAUUGCCUGACAUUUUGAGGUGCCUUUUCUACAGCAACAAUAGCAACUCAGGAAAAAGCCAGUAUGGUGAAAACCAAGAGCAAGUAGUUCCCUUCUGAGAAAAGUAUCAAAAUAUGCGAUUCAAGGCAGUGCUCCUUCAAAUGCCUUUCUAGCUCACCGAAGAAAAGCCUCUUCUGGGUCCUGGAGCACUGGCUAUGCUCCCCACUGAAUAAUCUUCAAAGUUCUUCUUCUGCUGUCUCAACUCCCACCCCAGGGAGGCAUGAAACGCGCACACCAGCUUCUGCUUGACUUCACAGCAAUGAAGCUGUCAUAGAGACAACCCCAACUCCAAACAAUGUGCAAUUGCUCAGUUCAAGAGGCUCUUUAAAUAAGAUGCCAUAGCAGCAUUGUUUGGGACAAGGCAAUGUUUAAUUUAAACACAAGCAUACAAGACCUUCCCACGUUACACUUUAAAACACAGGUCCUAUAAGAUGUGCCAUCGGAAGAGUCUACAACAGGGUAGCAGCAACAGUAGAGUGAUAGCUAUAAUAACCAUAGACUAUGCUGUCUUGAAACCAGCCAUUCUGUUAAGGAUGAAAGUGAACUUAAUUCCACCCUACUCUGGGAUAAAAAUGCAAUAUAAAUGGCUUAUGAAUUCUAAUUUGUUUGUAAACUAUUUUGAAGAGAAAUAUAGCAAAUUUAAAAUAGAAACAGGCAUCUACAUGGAACAACAGAACAGAGAAGAGACUGGGGGGGGGGGGGGGGGGCGGAGGGGGGACCAGAUGUUCCGUGACCAUGAUUCUGAAAGCCUAAAUUGCAAAGUUUGCAAGUGUUUACAUCUUUCAAGGCUCUUUCAGGUCAUACAUCCUACACAACAAACUCUUCCAAAUUAGAUACUUAUGACUGGGAGACAAUUAUCUGUACUCUCACAAAACAGUCAGACCAGUUCUCUAAUUGCAUGUUCAAGACAUUCACAAGUGUUCUAUAAAAGGGGGUGACCAGAGAUUUGCAGAUGACAGGCUAAGCUAUUCAGGAUAGUAAGAAGAGAAAAAAAGGAUUGACUGCAAAAAAUUGCAACAUGCAAUAUCAAGUGAAUUUCAGCUGUCAUUUUAUCAUCCAGUACACAUGCAUAUACAGCGAUGCACAAGGCAAAAAAAGAAUCUUAACAUUACAUUGGAAGUCAGAUGUUCUGAGCAGAUUACUAUUUAAUGGGAACAAAACCUUACUAUGCUAAUAGAUGUCUAUAUGAGACUAUCAAUUCAACAGUGGCACAGACCAGACUUUUAGAAACACAGGCCCAGAUUACAUAACUGGCCCAUAUCAGCAAAAGAACAAGAGUCAGCAUAGAAAUAAGUCCCAUUAGAUACAAGCCAUGCACAUAUGACAAUAAGGAAUAACAUGCCAUUACCAUACAUCUGAUUUUUUUUUUUAAUUUAAAAGAGCAAAUAAGAAGUCUUGCAUCAGUACAGGAAGGAUUUAAAGCAAUCUGACUAACUCCAAUUUCUCAUUAUUCUAAAAUCCAAGUUUUACCUAUUUGCACACAGGUAUUGCAUAAACAUGUAGUUUUUCCACAGCAGGCCCUCUAGUAAUGUUCCCAACUUUAUGUUCUUGAGAAUUACCUUCCAUAAAUGCUUCUACCACAAGUUGCUUUAAUCCUAUUGCAACUCCUGAGGGGCGGGGCAAAGGUGCAAGUUUUAAGCAAGGGAAGUCACCAAAAUAGUAAGGUUUAAAGAAAGACCAUGCCUGGGGCAAGAAGCAGUUAAGCCAAAUUUUAUUUUUUGCACCAUCAACUGAUCUGACAUUGAACAUUAAAGAAUCAAUUCUAUAAGAACAACUUGCACCUAAUCAUUCAUCUUUCUACCUUGACACUACCACAAAGUUUUAAUAGUAGCUUUCUAUAAAUAGCUUUUUCUAUAACAUUUCAAUAUUUGAGAUUGCAUCGUAAGUUCCAAUCCAACAGAAAUGUUCGUUGAAAGCCCGUAGCAAUACUUUCUCCAUCACACCAGUAAUAAACAGAGAAAGUCUACAGCUAGUAAGCUAACA